GUCAAGUUAGUUUAAUUAAAACAUCAGCUUGUGGAUUUGAAAAUGAAAGACAACUCUCACUUGACC
rnacentral:tRNA from 1 species